rnacentral:rRNA from 1 species
CCUACGGGUGGCAGCAGUGAGGAAUAUUGGUCAAUGGACGAGAGUCUGAACCAGCCAAGUAGCGUGAAGGAUGACUGCCCUAUGGGUUGUAAACUUCUUUUAUAUGGGAAUAAAAUGUUCCACGUGUGGGAUUUUGUAUGUACCAUAUGAAUAAGGAUCGGCUAACUCCGUGCCAGCAGCCGAGGUAAUACGGAGGAUCCGAGCGUUAUCCGGAUUUAUUGGGUUUAAAGGGAGCGUAGGUGGAUUGUUAAGUCAGUUGUGAAAGUUUGUGGCUCAACCGUAAAAUUGCAGUUGAAACUGGCAGUCUUGAGUACAGUAGAGGUGGGCGGAAUUCGUGGUGUAGCGGUGAAAUGCUUAGAUAUCACGAAGAACUCCGAUUGCGAAGGCAGUUCACUGGACUGCAACUGACACUGAGGCUCGAAAGUGUGGGUAUCAAACAGGAUUAGAUACCCCUGUAGUC